CAAGAGUAAAUAUUGAUGUCAGGUAUGCAACAAAGUUCGUUUCUUCACAAUCCUCCCCUGUAUUUUUUUUUUUGUAUUUUGGGUAAGUUUUUGAUGUGUUAGAUAAAAAUGCAGUAGCAGGUCUAAAAGGUACGAAGUGUGCAAAGGAGACGAAAGACUACUGGAUAGACAGGCUUAUUUUCUUUGUACUAUAUUACUACUAUCAAU
rnacentral:ribozyme from 14 species